rnacentral:rRNA from 1 species
CCUACGGGUGGCAGCAGUGAGGAAUAUUGGUCAAUGGACGAGAGUCUGAACCAGCCAAGUAGCGUGAAGGAUGACUGCCCUAUGGGUUGUAAACUUCUUUUAUAAAGGAAUAAAACGAGGCACGUGUGCCUUUUUGCAUGUACUUUAUGAAUAAGGAUCGGCUAACUCCGUGCCAGCAGCCGCGGUAAUACGGAGGAUCCGAGCGUUAUCCGGAUUUAUUGGGUUUAAAGGGAGCGUAGAUGGGUUGUUAAGUCAGUUGUGAAAGGUUGCGGCUCAACCGUAAAAUUGCAAUUGAUACUGGCAGUCUUGAGUACAGUUGAGGUAAGCGGAAUUCGUGGGGUAGCGGUGAAAUGCUUAGAUAUCACGAAGAACCCCGAUUGCGAAGGCAGCUUACUAAACUGUGACUGACAUUGAUGCUCGAAAGUGUGGGUAUCAAACAGGAUUAGAUACCCCAGUAGUC